AACGAACGCUGGCGGCAUGCCUAACACAUGCAAGUCGAACGAGACCUUCGGGUCUAGUGGCGCACGGGUGCGUAACGCGUGGGAACCUGCCCUUAGGUUCGGAAUACCUCCCCGAAAGGGGUGCUAAUACCGGAUAAUGUCUUCGGACCAAAGAUUUAUCGCCUUUGGAUGGGCCCGCGUUGGAUUAGCUAGUUGGUAGGGUAAAAGCCUACCAAGGCGACGAUCCAUAGCUGGUCUGAGAGGAUGAUCAGCCACACUGGGACUGAGACACGGCCCAGACUCCUACGGGAGGCAGCAGUGGGGAAUAUUGGACAAUGGGCGAAAGCCUGAUCCAGCAAUGCCGCGUGAGUGAUGAAGGCCUUAGGGUUGUAAAGCUCUUUUACCCGGGAUGAUAAUGACAGUACCGGGAGAAUAAGCACCGGCUAACUCCGUG
rnacentral:rRNA from 1 species